AACCUAGGUAAAUAAGUUCUCCUUUGUUAGGUCCUUCAAGUUAUGUACUUUUGCUGCCACUAAUUGUGAACUAUAUUCAGCAUUGAGCAUUCUAAUUCUUCUUCUGCAUUGUUCUCUACCUCGACAACUGCUGUAGUGCAGGCUGAAGCGAUGGCAUGUAUGAUUGAUGUAGGUUCAUCUCAAUAAGAAAUAUUUGGUGUAUAGUAUGUUGGUCCCAGCCUACUUGCUGUAACUCCUGAUUUUGAUGGAUUUUUUUCACGACUUUGAUUAUACAAUGUAGAAUUUGUACUGUUUUGAGCCAAAUUCAAUAGAGUAUAUCAUCCAAUGCUAACGGUUUCAAUUAUCAUGGUAUAUUCAAGUCAAAGCUAAAUACUGGUCAGUGCCCGCCUAGCUUGGCAAAGAUUGCAGGUUAAUCUACUUUGGUGCUGUAGGUUCUUUUCUUCUUACUCUUAUUCUUUAGGUUUUAUUUGUUAUUCCUAUUUCCAUUUAGGGCAAAAAAAUCUGGGAAUUGUUUGGACAAAUGUACCUUUUAAGCGUUCUCCCUUCGUGCCCAAAACAAUGUUAGGUGGGCCAAGAUAAUACUUUUAGGCGUUCAGAAAGAGUCACAUCUAUAAUUAGCUUUCAGCUUGCUAUAUCCAGUGUGAACUACUAGAAAUAUGUACAUCUACUGAAAGAGUCAUAGUUAUAUAUUUUUAGCUAUUAGCUCAUUGUAUCCAAUACCUGUGAAGUUGUAUGUUUAUAGUUUUGGAAAUAAGUGUGGAAUAUUGGCUGCUGGUACCUAUGUACGGUAACUUAAGUAUAUCGUCAAGAACACUUUAUGCUCAGCAAUCGUACAAAGUAAAUGACGCAUUUCCUUUCAAUGGAUAGACAAAAAGUGGACGGGGGGCUUCCAUGCCACAUCCAUGGCUACUGCUGGAAGUUGAUUGGCGGUCUUCAUGUCCCAAAAUGCUAGUUUUAUAGAUUAUGAAGCAACCAUAAGGACUGGAUUCAGAAAGAACCAUGAAGCCAAUGGUCCAUGUCAAAUAGAUGUUUGAGCUUUCAUUUUGUACAACUGAUGCCUCAUACUUGCAUCUGAUGUAUGGUGUAUGGUGUAUGGUCUCUUGGUGGGUAUAUUUAGAAUAGACUGAAGUGUAUGUAUGUGACAAAUAGUUAAUGAAAUAAAAAAUAUUUGGUGCACCUAAAAUAUGGUGUCUUGG